UUAAGGUUGGGGUCAUCACAACAUGAGAAACUAGGAAGGCUGAGAAGCACUGUACCAGAACAAUGUCUGCUGCACAGGGGGAGUUAAUAGUUAGGUUUUGGUUGGUGUGCUAAGGAGACACCUUGCUGAGUUCCUCAACUUCCAAGUUCUAGGGGCUGCUUUUGAAAGAUGUCAGCACCUGGCCAUAGAAAAUGAGGUUCUGAGAUCUUUAACCCAGUGAGUUAAUGCAAUGUGGAAAAGUGUAGUGGAAGCUACACUGGGUCAUGGAGAAAAAAAAUUCUGUGAGAGGAAAUAAAUGAUUCAGUUUUCCAAAUUCAGCACUGAUCCUGAGUGAAGAUGGUUCUGCAAGAACGUGAGACAGAACCUGAAGGCAUUUUGUACCCCUGGGUGUGUCUCUGGGCCUCUAUUCUGUGCCAUUCAAAAUGUGUCACCCAACUGUCAUUUUUAAAAAUUCUCUUUAUUUUUUGAGAUUAUAAUAUAAUUACACCAUUUCUACCUUUCUUGCCACCCGUCCCAAUCCUCCUACACACCCCUUCUUGCCCUCUUUCAAAUUCACGACCUCUUUUUUUUUCAUUAAUUGUUGUUACAUGUAUAUGUAUAUGCUUGUAUAUACGUAUAUAUUCCUAGACAUAACCUUCCAAUUUAUAUAGUGUUACUUGUAUGUAUGUUUUCAGGGCUACUUUUUGGUACUGGAAAACCAGUUGGUGUGCUCUUCCAUGGAAAAGAAUAUUUCUGGGGAAUGCCAUUAUUUUCUUGUAUUCUUACUUUUGACUCUUGAGAUAACAUUCCAGGACCCGGGCACAAGGGAGUGACUUGCAGGUGAAGAGGCCAGUGUACUGUCCCUAAACAUAAACCAGAAAGGCUUUGAAUGAUUCUGUUUCCUUGGUGGUGCCCACCAGCACCACAGAAGAUGCUCUUCAGGAGGAGUGACAGUCCAUGAACCUGCAUCCCCUCUGACAGCAGCCUUUAGGAGUAUCCGCCACCGCAGCUGGAAUCAGGAGCACUUCUGCAACCAGACCAAGGCAGCAGCCCUCACUACUCACGAUUUUCACUGAAGCCAGUCACUCCAAGAGUUGGGAUAGGCAGUACUGCAGUGGUAAUAGCUUACAGGCACACAUAGGUCAUGCUAUUUAAUAUUUCUAGUUUAUGGAUCAGGAGACUUUGAGGCAUGGAGGCCAGGCCAUCUGCAGUUGCACAGUAGUGGAAAGUAGGUUCUAGGAUUUGAAUUCAAGCAUACUGUCUCCAUGGGGAAGAGUUCUUCAUUUGUCAUUUAUUAAAAUUAAUUCUAAGCUAAAUUUAAUUGUUAAGGAAGUCUUUUUGAUAACAGAAAUAGAAAGGCACAAAGGCACAUGCUGUAUAAAAAAUCUGCAGGAUUUUAAAGUUAUGUGUUCCUGGAUUUGAAUCUCAACUCUCACACAUUAUGUGAAUUUUCUGAUGACUGCUAACUGCUCAGAAGAAUGACAAGGACGUGGACUACUUUAUGAGUAUUAAAUAAGUCCUACCCAUUGGACAUCUGAUCAGUGAGAUGUGGCUCUAGAUGCUCAGCAUGCUGAUAUGAGUAACACUCACUAAAAUUUUACAGUCCAGAGCAAAAGCAGGUGGUGCCCAGCAAGAUAAAGAAAUGGAGAAUGUGUGGCAUCAGGGUCCUAAUCCACAUGUUAGUUAGAACCUUGCAGGCAGCACUUUGCUUGCUUGCUUACUGUAGAGAUUGGCUCAUGUAAUUGCAGGGCCUGAGAAGUCUGUACUCAGCCAAACUGGAGAUGUAGAAGAGAGGGUGGUGUGGUUUCACCGGAAGCCCAAAGUCCUGAGAACAGUGGGUCUCAUGGUGUGAGCUCCAGUCUGUGUCUGAGCCCCAUGUUCCAGCUUCAGACACUGUCCCAGAAAUCCUGUCUUAUCCCUCUCUCCUGAUCACUCUGCAUGGAGUCCCAUUGCAUGGAAGAGAGAAAUCUACACUGGUCAUGAGAAUAAAUACUACUUACUGCCAAGCAAGAACUCUCUGGGACACAGAGCAUGGAUGAUUCCCCUGCCUUCUAUGUCAAAGGAAAGAAUUGCUGAUUCCUGUUGAGGGGGAGGUGACUUCUGUGGUUUGUUUAUAAUUGUUCAGCAUAGUUCCACCCCAAAAAGAAUGCUUUCUGGUGUUUUAAAACCUCAAAUUGCUUUUUACUUAUGAAGAGAAUUUACAGUGAGUUAUGCUAUAAUGUAAUCUAACCUGCUGAGACAUACCACAUUGGACAUUCCCAGACACAUCUUUGCUCCCUUGAGGGGAAGCUGUGAAGGUAGACUGGUAAUCGCUGUAACAGGAUCAGCAUGGGGGAGAUUGAUCACACCUAGGAAAGUGACCUCUUCUAGGAACUUUGCAAAAGGCACACCUUUCCUGUUGAUUGAUUACACAUCAGGGUGACCAGCCCUGGCUGAGAGGCUCAGUGUGUUACUCACCUUCUGCUGGCACAUGCACUUUUUUGUUGUUGUUGGUGUUCAUGCAAGAUUGAUGUGGAGCAGCUGUAGUUGGAAGGGCCCAGAAAUUCAUACCAUGAAAACGCAGCUAGCUUUGAAAGGAAAAAGGAAAAGAGAUUUAUUAUCCACAAACACAAUUACAAUAAGCUCCAUUUAAAAUGAUGAUUAAAGUUUUAUACAUCUAUAGAGAGUGGUCCUCUUGCUGAGAAAGGGAGCAAGAGUGCAUUCACGAAAGAAAGUCUGCUUCCUUCUACAUCCUGAGUACACAGCUCCAAAUCUGUGUCAAUGGCCAGUCUUGACUCACCAAUUCUCAUUCCAGAUCACAGCUCCCAUUUUACUAUGGAAAGUCUGUUUACUAAGGCCGCCUCUAUCUUGUACUCCACAUUGUGUCUCCCUCUGUAACUAUCCGCAGAUCUGACCCUGAAGUCGUCACGUCUAAUCCAUUUCCUCGUCUCCUUCUCUCUGUCAGCCCCUUUCCUGCUCCCAAACAAUUUGUUGUUCUUUUUCUCAGAUCCUUUGUUUUGCUAUCCAACACCUCAUCCAUGUGAAAACCUUCAACUUUAGAUCAGUCUGACACCACUUUCUUUCCCUCCUCUCUGCUUAGGAGCUGAGCAUUAAAACUAAAAAUCAAACAAACAUAUACCAGAUUUCCAUUCUGGAAAUUAGCGUGAUUUGCCUGUCAUCAGGAGCAAUGAACUCCAUGCUUCCCAAGCUUCAGGGAGUGGUGCCAUCUAACUCCCCACCUAUGGAUUUCUCAUCACCCGUGUUGGAUAGUUUUAUGUCAACUUGACACAGCUAGAAUUAUUUGUAAGAAGGAAACCUCAAUUAAGAAAACGCCUCCAUAAGAUCCAGCUGUUAGAUCAAGUUCAGGCUGCCAUGAUAAAGUACCAUACAUGGAGUGGCUUAAACAACAAAACCUUUGUUCAGUGUGUGAAGUUCAAGGUUAUGGCAGAAUGUGCUGGGGGAAGGCUUUCUCCAGGCUUGUAGAUGGCUACUAUGUACCCCUCCCCCACCCAUGGUCUUUUUUCUAAACACAUGCACUUUUCCUCCUCCUGGAACAUCAUCUCUAGGUAAAAGCGCUACCUUCAUGAUCUCACUUAAUCUAAUAACCUCCUAGUGAUGGCGCCACCAAAGACAGUGGCACAGAGAGACUGGAACUUCAACAUGUCCGCUAAGGGGCAGAGAGUCCAGUCCUCAGCAGAUCCUAAGUUGAACCAAACAGUUGAGAUUAAGUUCCAAAUUCAAUUAAAGCAAAUACUUUACAAAGCAAUAUUACUUCUGAAAUGAGAGAGAAUAAGUUACAUGUGAAGGUGGAGAUGCCCCAUGUGGUUGGUUCUUCAAGGAAGGCCCAGCUGCUGAGCGAUGCUUGAAGAUGGACUUAGUUUAGCAUCAGUGCUUUUUCUGCUGAAAGCUUCUUGCUUAGGGAUACUCAGUUCCUAGGGCGGUCAAAGUUCAGAAGCACAAGAGAUGGCUAUUUGGAGAUGGCAUAUGAUGGCUCCAGAGGAUUCCCAGUGGGUUUAUGACCUCAUCUCAGCAUCUGCUUUCUAAAGAAUUUAGCCUGCAACUGGUUUAAUCUAGUGUCACAUGACUCAUUGUCACAUAAUUAUAAAGGGUGAUCAAAAAACGAAAGAAUACAACCAGUUUUGCAUCUUCAAAAACACGAGUGCUGCAGCCUGACUCAUUGGAUUUAUCAUUGUUUCCAAGAAUGUCUACAUUUUUAGUGUAAAAACUCACAAUCAAAAUUUUAUAAAAUUUACAUGUGUACAUAGCCAUUUGUUUACAUGCUCUGAUUAAUAUUAACUUGUUUCUUACUCACUAGUGCAUAGUUGCAUGGUAUGUAGACAGUUUCCAUAUUCCUUUUAUUCUCCUCACUACUUUUUCAGCUUUGUCAAUGUUAACUUGACUGAUACAAAUUUGUGUAUAUUCAGUGUAUACUACUUCAUGUUCUGCUUCAUGUAUAUGUGUGUAAGGAUGAUCAUGUAGAUUUAUAUCCCACCAUUUCAUGUCAUAACUUGUUUAUUUGUGAGUGAUGAGGAUAUUUAAGAUCAACUCCCCAGCCAAAUUCAAGCACACAACAUAUUUCUACUAACUCUACACAGCAAAUUGUCAUAGGUCUGCAUUAGUUAUCCAUCCUGCAACUGACAGCAUGGGUCCUUUGAUUACCACUUCUGUACUGUCCCCUAGUCCCAGAUCCUGUACCUUCUGUUGUCUUUACUUUGGCUUCUUCAGAUCUUUCACAUAAGUGAGAUCACACAGUGUAUACCUUUCUGCUCAUUUCCACUCAUCAUUAGCACCUUCUGGGUUCAUCCACAUUGUCACAAAUAACAACCUUUCUUUUUCUUUUCUAAGGCUAAAAGAUAUUCUAUUGCAUACACACAUAUUUACUUGUGAUAGUUCUUUUAUCAAUUUACUCAUCGACUGACAUUUUGUCUUUCUCUACUUUUGUGAACAAUAUUACAAUGAGCAUGGUGGUGGAACUACUUCUUUGAGGUAAUAGUCUUAUUCCUUUGGACAGACAUACACAGGAUUGAGAUUGCAAGAUAAUGUGGUAUUUCUGUUUUCCAGUAUUUGAGGAAUUUCUCUAUUGAAAGCAUAUAUUGGCAUUCAUCGCACACAUCCUUAGUCUUUGGGGGCAGUUUAAUAUUGCCCUUUAUACUCUUCCCUAGGUUCAUUUGUCUUCUAUGAAAUUACCCAUUCUUUAAAGUCUGAGACAAAUUGUUUUGCAGAAUGGAAUUCAAUUCAGAUUUGUUUCUGGUUAUUUCUUCAUAUUUAGUUAGUAUUAAUAGAUAGCACUGUGUCUCUUUGACAAUGGUAAUGACUAGUAGGUCUUUCCACAAUAAAGGUUCUUUUACAUGAAGCAGGUUUUGAUGAAGAUUUACAAAGAUGGAAGCUCUUUCUCUCCUAUCUGAAGAAGUUCUUUGCUUUAUCUCUGUUUACCAUCAUCUCCUGACAUGUGAUGGGGACCUUAUCAGAAGAUCUGGGGUCAAUGAACUUAUAAAUGGGCAUCCAUCCCCAAUGGAAAUGCUUAUUCUUAAAAGUAAAAGUUUGUCCUUAUCUUUAUAUUGUGGCUGUUUUUCAUCUGAUGACAUGCAGUCUGACUUAAAAUACUUGGACCUUUUCACCCAUGGAUUUGAGCAUGUCUGACCUCUUGCAAACUGUGAUAUUGCUUGCAUCUGUACGUGUCCUCCACAGUAUUUAGGAAGUCAAAGGUCAGAUGGGCAUCCACAUCACAUAGAUCCUUUGUGUCCCUAGAGAUCUGUGAAGCAAACCUUAGGAGAUGAGAGGCAACACAAUGCAGAUCACACCUAUGGCCUGCACUAAGCUGGGGCUAUAAGGAUACUGCAGAUGGUUGGCACUGAUAGAAGAGAUGGAAAGAAAAGACACACAUGGUAUAUGUGGACCUCGAGCUCCUGGCCAUCCCAUCCCAAUGAGAGUAGACUAUUUCCUUUUUAAAAUUUUAUUAAGUUUUUCAUUUAUUUUACAUCCAAAUCACAGUUUCUCCUUCCUCUUCUCCUCCUAUUCCCACCCCUGCCUCUCCUCUGCCCCAUCAAUUCGCCCCUCUGUUUCUGUUCUGAAACAGGCAGGCCUCCAAUGGAUGUCAAAAAAGCAUGGCAUAUUAAGCUGAGGUGGAACGAAGCUCCUUCCUUUGUAUUAAGGCUGGGUGAAACAACCCAGUAUGAGGAAUAGGUUCCCAAAUGCCAGUCAAAGCAUUAGAGAAAGGCCCUGAUCCCACAGCUAUGAGUCUGGCAGACAGACCAAGCUACACAACUGUCACACAUAUGUAGAAGACCUAGGUCUGUCCCAUGCAGCCUCCAUAGCUGUUGGUCUAGAGUCUAUGAGUUCCUAUUAGUUCAGGUGAGUUGUUUCUGUGGGUUCCCCUGUCAUGACCUUGACAUCCCUGGCUCAUACCGAAGCUCUAGUCAGUACUUGACUGUGGAUCUCUGCAUCUGUUUCUAUCAGUUACUGGAUGAAGGCUCUCUGAUUGCAAUUAGAGUAGUCACCAAUCAGAUUACCAGAGAUGGCCAUUUAAGUCACCUUCUCCAUUUUUGCUAGGAGAGACUGAAUUGGACUCAGUCAUUUUGGGAUUUAAAGUUCUGACUCCUUCCUUUUUAUUGCUAUUUAAAGCUGGACAUAAUACUUACUAAUUCAGAGACUCCUUUCCUCAUCCCCUAGACAAGGAUAACAGCACCCACACUGUGUGGUUGGAGUACAUGCUCUAUUCCUUGUUCUAGUAAAUAUCAAACAUGAACCAGUACUAAACUAUGGUGUUUGCAAUGUACAGAUACUAUUCACAUCACAUCACAUUUAAAUCUUGCAAAAUCUAUAGUGAUGUAGUCAUCACAUUUAAGUCUUGCAAAAACUACAGUGGUAAGUGGAUUAGUGAUAUUAGCAGAUUGCCAAAUCUUGUGUGUACAGAGGAUCAGCUCUGACACUCAUCCUGUUCAUUAAACUCCCAAGAAUUAACUGAGUCAUGGCAUAGUGUCAUCUUCCUGCAGGAAGUUGUUUACUAUCCCUGAAGUAGAUAAAUGAUUACACACUUUAUGCAAAUGCUGACAUCACUGAAAGGAAACCAUCAACUCCAAAUCAAAGAAAAACAAACCAUUAAAUGGAAUUGUAAGAAACAAUAUUUCUUAGAUGUAAACAUAUCAAUACUGUAUCAUAGAGGACAUGGUUUAAAUAGGAUAAGUAAUGAAAAAUUUUUUGUCUGAAUCUGUCAAAUGUUAAUGGACUAGACAUUGUUAAUGUAAUUCUUGACCAUAUAUAUAUAUAUAU